rnacentral:misc_RNA from 1 species
UGGUUCUGGCAUCGAUGAAGAACGCAGCGAAAUGCGAUAAGUAAUGUGAAUUGCAGAAUUCAGUGAAUCAUCGAAUCUUUGAACGCACAUUGCGCCCUUUGGCAUUCCGAAGGGCAUGCCCGUUCGAGCGUCAUUAAACCCACUCAAGCCUGGCUUGGUAUUGGGCGACGGGGACCUCCCCGCGCCUCCAUUUCGCCGGCUGGCCGUCGUUUGACUUAGCGUUGUGACACAUGUCGCUGACGACGAAGACGGACCGCGCCGUGAGAACCCCCUUGGGCGCCGCGAGGCGUUCAGUACAGGUUGACCUCGGAUCGGGUAGGGAUACCCGCUGA